CGAAAAAGCAGAUGGCGACACGGGCCGGAAAUUACCGAGGUGUGCACGGAGAGAGCCGGAGAAUACCGAGGAGAGGCGGAUCAUGACGACCCCCCUGUCCUCGGGAAGCGCUCGGCACCAAGACGAUACUAUUUUGAAGGCAUCUCAGCCACAGUGAAAGAUGCCCUUGGCACUGAUGCUCCAGUCACCCUUACUGACUCUCAGGGGAAUGAGAAUUCAGACUCAGAAGGCACAAGAACCAACCACUACUGGAAACAGAAUUCCCGGAAGAGUUUUGCCUUGAUGGACGAGGACUUCCAGGAAUUCGGGUAAUGUUGCAGGGUCGAGGACAGCAAUACUGUCCAGCAGGCACUUGACCAAAUAAAAGAAAUGACAGACAACAUAACCUGGCUGUCUGAGGUGGUCAAGUCCAGGACUUUGGCAUCACUGACCAGUGCUGGGCUGCAGCCAGCAAAGGAAGGUCUGUCCUGCCCUGUUUGCAAAGAUAUAAUGGAGAGACCAGUAUUCGUAACCUGUUGUGGAUCUAUUGUGGGGUGCUGGACCUGUGUGGAGCAGCGGCUGGUCAAUUCUGACACUGCAACAAAAUGGCCUUUGUUGGAUAUGCAGAAUUUGAACAGUCUACCAUACAAGUUUCUUCCUGGUCACACAUCUUGACUAGUGCGGCCUUCAGAGGGAAAUGUACUCUUGUUCACUUCUGACCACAUCCUUUCAAUUACAUAUAGGCUGGGAGCCAGGUCCACCCCUCAUGAUGUUUUUUGCUACCCUUCUUUUACUGUUAUUUCCUGUUAUCCCAUACAUUGGGCCAUCACAAGUUGUUUGGCCUCAGGGGCCAAAAAACUCCCUUUUUGAGAAAAGCCUCCAGCGAAAUGAUGUAAUUGCAUAUAUUAGGGUCCUGCAACUGCAUAAAUGGUCAAAUAAGUCAAAUACAUUUUGCAUCCUGACACAUAGGGGAAACUAUCAGAAUAAUACUCUGGGGCUUACUGCCUUUUGAUUUUCAAAUAUCACCCUCAGUUUAUCCCAGAAGACCAAAACAAAUUGUCAUCAAAGGCGAUCAUUUUCAAACAUUUCAUUAUCCAUAUCACUGCAUUAUGAAAAACUUCCCACAUUUGAAAGCUUCAAUUGAAGUCCAAGAUGACCUUUCUGUCUAGAAGAUUACACCUGAUGUGACCAAACUUCUCCAGUGUACCUCAAAUAGGAGAAAAUGGAACUUUCAGCAUUACCCUUCCAAAUGGAAUUACUCAUGUUUUCUUGCAUAUAAACAAUAUCUUAAACAAGGGUUGAGACUUGAGUUAUAUAUUGUUAUACUUUAUGAACUUAAUUACAUGAAUAAUGUUACACCCCCCGGUGGACCAGGGUAUCAGGAUGCAACAUAACAGAUCAAGCAAAGGAGGGUUCAGUCACACAAAACCUGGUACCAAAAUAAAAGAUUUAUCGAAGAACAAAGUCCAGGCAACAAAAUGAAUAACAAUGACUUAAGCAUGCAGUCUGUUAUCAAGA